CCUACGGGGGGCAGCAGUGGGGAAUAUUGGACAAUGGGCGAAAGCCUGAUCCAGCCAUGCCGCGUGUGUGAAGAAGGCCUUCGGGUUGUAAAGCACUUUCAGUGGGGAAGAAAGCCUUGGGGCUAAUACCCUCGAGGAAGGACAUCACCCACAGAAGAAGCACCGGCUAACUCCGUGCCAGCAGCCGCGGUAAUACGGAGGGUGCGAGCGUUAAUCGGAAUUACUGGGCGUAAAGCGCGCGUAGGCGGUCUGAUAAGCCGGUUGUGAAAGCCCCGGGCUCAACCUGGGAACGGCAUCCGGAACUGUCAGGCUAGAGUGCAGGAGAGGAAGGUAGAAUUCCCGGUGUAGCGGUGAAAUGCGUAGAGAUCGGGAGGAAUACCAGUGGCGAAGGCGGCCUUCUGGACUGACACUGACGCUGAGGUGCGAAAGCAUGGGUAGCAAACAGGAUUAGAUACCCGGGUAGUC
rnacentral:rRNA from 1 species